AGAAUCAACGCUGGCGGCGUGCCUAACACAUGCAAGUCGCACGAGAAAGGGGAGCAAUCCCUGAGUACAGUGGCGCACGGGUGAGUAACACGUGAAUAAUCUACCUCCGAGUGGGGAAUAACUGAGAGAAAUCUUAGCUAAUACCGCUAUAACACUUACGAGUCAAAGCAGCAAUGCGCUUGGAGAGGAGUUCGCGGCCGAGUUAGUUAGUUGGCGGGGUAAUGGCCCACCAAGACGAUGAUCGGUA
rnacentral:rRNA from 1 species